GUCGGAGAUGAAUCAAGUGAGCAGCAGGGUUUGGAUGGCGGCGAGCGUGGCGGUGGUGCAGGGCCGCCAUGUGACCAACGAACGGGGAGCGAAGUUCGGCUUCAUCGGCGGUCUCAUACCGGCGGCCGCUGGGAUCGGCCUGGAGCGGCAGAUCGAGGGUGGAUGUGGCGGCGAUGAGCGGCAACGGCAGCAGAAAGCGGAUGAUUCGUUCCGGAAGGCGAUGUACUUGAGCUGCUGGGCGCCGAGCUAAUCUGAAAUCGGUUGAGAGCGAUCAAGAUUUUGGGCGGAGAUCUGGGGAAUCUGGAUACCGAGAGCCGAGAGGGAAGGAAGUAUGGGAUGGCACUGUAAAUUACACAUAUUAUGUUACAAACGACAACAAAAUUGGCAGUCGAGAAACUGCGAGAUGUAAUUAUCCUUUAAACGAAGAGAAAAUCUGCAGUAACCUAUCAGAUAACUCAAAAAUUCAAUAUUUUCGUUGUAAGAACUACGGAAAUUAUAAAUUCAAAUUUCAAA
rnacentral:misc_RNA from 1 species